GAAAUGCGAUAAGUAAUGUGAAUUGCAGAAUUCAGUGAAUCAUCGAAUCUUUGAACGCACAUUGCGCCCGCCAGUAUUCUGGCGGGCAUGCCUGUCUGAGCGUCAUUUCAACCCUCAGCCCCCGUUCGCGGGGCGCUGGCGUUGGGGCCCGGCCGUCCUCGCGGCGGCCGUCCCCGAAACACAGUGGCGGUCUCCCGCAGACCCCCCUGCGUAGUAGCACUACCUCGCAGAAGGGACGAGCGGGCUGGCCACGCCGUAAAACACCCCACUUCUCCAGGUUGACCUCAGAUCAGGUAGGAAUACCCGCUGAACUUAA
rnacentral:misc_RNA from 1 species